GCACUCCACCAGUCAGGCAUUUAUGGUAGAGUGGCCAGACAGAAGCCACUCCUCAGUAAAAAGCACGACAGCCCACUUGGACUUUGCUAGAAGGCACCUGAAGGACUUACAGACCAGGAGAAACAAAAUUCUCUGGACUGAUGAAACGAAGAUCGAACUCUUAGGCCUGAAUGCCAAGCUUCAUGUCUGGAAGAAACCAGGCACCGCUCACCACCUCGCCAAUACCAUCCCUACAGUGAAGCAUGGUGGUGGCAGCAUCAUGCUGUGGGGAUGUUUUUCAGCAGCAGGAACUGGGAGACUUGUCAGGAUCGAGGGAAAAAAUGAAUGCAGCUAAGUACAUCGAAAUACUUGAUAAAAACCUGCUCCAGAGCGCUCGAGACCUUCGACUGGGGCGGCGCUUCAUCUUCCAGCAUGACAAUCACCCUAAGCACACGACCAAGAAGACAAAGGAGUGGCUACAGGACAAGUCGCUGAAUGUCCUUGAGUGGCCCAGCUAGAGCCAGACUUGAACCCGAUUGAACAUCUUUGGCAAGACCUGAAAGUAGCUGUGCACCGACGCUGCCCAUCCAACCUCACUGAGCUUGAGAGGAUGUGCAAGGAAGAAUGGGGAAAAACUCCCCAAAUCCAGGUGUGCCAAGCUUGUUGCAUCAUACACAAGAAGACUGGAGGCUGUAAUCACUGCCAAAGGUGCUUCGACCAAGUAUUGGGUAAAGGGUGUGAAUACUUAUGUAUAUGCAACAUUUGAGUGUUCUUAUUUUUAAUAAAUUUGCAAAAUGCUCUGAAAAAAGUUUUUUGCUUUGUCAUUAUGGGGUAUUUUGUGUAGAAUUUUUGAGGGAAAAAGGGAAUUUAAUCCAUCUUGGAAAAAGGCUGCAACAUAACAAAAUGUGGAAAAAGUGAAGUGGUAUGAAUACUUUCCGGAUGCACUGUAUGAUCGACUGACAUUCAUUGGACACAACAACACAACAAAAAAGGAUGUUCUGGCCGCUGCAAAUGCUUCAAGUUUGGACUUAGCUGCACACCCCUCUGUGGUUGUACUUGUUAGUGCAUGUAAGAAUGUAGACACAAAGAAGACACAGGAGGCCUACCACUAGCCAAGCCGCCAUUGUAAAUAAGAAUUUGUUCCUAAGUAAAAACACACAUAUAUACUGUAAAUAUAUAUAAAAGGGAAAAAAACACAAAAAAGCACAAAAAAACAAACAAACACAAACAAAAAAACCAUCCACCUAGGGCCCAGUCAUUACUCACAUGGACAGCCCAAGUGGGAACAAAGUGUAUCCCACGAACUUUCCAUAUAGGAAGCCCACCUUGAAACAUAUGUGGGUCAUGACUGGGUGUGCUGGUCUGGGACCUGGUACCUAUGGCACUAAAAUGCAAACAAAUCACUUUAAAUGUGUCAUCAUAAAUUGAUUCUAUCUAUGGAAAAAAAUACAACUAUGUGCUGCAUGCUCUUAUGGCUUAACCGUGAACAGCAGUAUAUUUCUGCUAUUUAUCGGCAGCCAUAUUGGAAAUUUGCCACCAUAUUGGAACCUAAUAUCUUAUGUUUAAUUGGAAUAAAUACCUAAAAUAUUAUAAUAAAUUAAAAUGAGGGUAUGUGUAAGUUUCAUAGCUGCAAUAAACUGAUACAGUCCAAAAUGUUGACCUGGUGACAGCCAUUUCUAAAAGCUCGCGGGCAUCAUGAAAAAUGGUGCCGCCCAGGUGGCCAGAGGUUAUAUUAUGAUUAGUAGUGGUAUAAAGGAUAUCUGUACCAAAUUUCAUGCUUGUAUCACCAUCUGCACUAUCGCCUCAAAAAUCUGCAUAUUCCCGCUAGACUAAUAGUGUUGGAUACAUUCAGCUGCAGAUCAAUUUAAAUUUUGUUGCUUCCUCAUUUCAUAUUUGUAAGUUCUGCUAUUUGAUUUAGCGACACUAAGAACAAGAUGUGUGAGGAAAUCUGUAUAUGAGAAGUUCAGCUGAAAUUAAAGAUUAGAUUAGCUGAAUCAUUCCUUAAAACUGGAGCCCCUGGCCUUGCAUUAGUCAACAAUCCCCAAUGCAUUAUUUUGUUGGUUAAACUUGUAAUUAAAUUAUGAAUCAUAAGCACCACACAGACCCAGCGAGUAAAUCAUGUAACAGGUAUAAUAUGUAUAUUGUGUACAACCCAAAUUUCCAAAACAGCUAGAAUUCAUUGUAAAAUGUUGAUAAAAACAAUUUGACAGUUUAUCAUCGAAUUGUUUUAACUGCAUUUAAUUGGAAAUAUUGUGAUGACAACAUGUCAAGUCUCGAAACUAAACAUUUUCCUUUCGCUUUAAUAAAUGUAUUUACUAAUUUUCAAUUUGAUGCCAGCAGUCCCCAAAAAAAGUUUGGACAACCGUGUUCACCAUUGGGUUGAAUCACAUCUUCUUUCAGCGUUCUUCUUUGUGAACUAGACGGACUGGCGUUUGGAGAGUGUCCUAUUCUUGCCUGAUGCAGGAUAUCAGUUGCACAACAGUUUGGCAUUUCUUUUGCCAUAUUUUUCAUAUAAUGUUACUCUUAAAGUUUUUGAUGGGUGACAGACAGGACUGCAGGCAGGUUAGUUUAUCAGCAGGACUCUUCUACUACAGAGCCGUGCUGUUGUAAUCCCUGUAGAAUGUGGUUUGUUGUUGUUUUGCUGAAAUACGAAGGUCUUCCCUGAAAAAGUCUUCAUCUGGAUGGCAGCAGGUGUUGUUCCUAAACCUGAAGAUAUUGUUCAGCAUUAACGGAGCCUUCACAGAUAUGGGAGACACCCAUGACAUGGACUUUGAUGAUCCCCAUACCAUCAGGGAUGCUGGCUUUUGAACUUCACACCUUUAGGAUGCAAUGUUCAGGAUUUCCAUACAGGUUGCUAAGUUUUGAUUAGUCAGAAUAGACAACAGUUUUCCUCCCUCCCCAUUCAGGCCAUCCUGAAUGGGUUAAGGCCCAGAAAGGUUGCGUGCAGUUUGGGAUCAUGUCUAAAUAUGGCGUCCUCUUUGCAUGGGGCAGUUUUAACCUGCAUAUGUGGAAGCAGUGACAAGUUGUGUUUGCACACAACGGUUUUUCGAAGUGAUUCUGAGCCCAUGUCAUGUCUGUUUUUGAGACAAUGCAAUCUCAGGGUCCUAAGGUCACAUUCAUUCGGUGUUAGUUUUCAGUGCUGUCCCUUUUGUACAGAAUUUUUUCUAGUUUCUCAGGAUCUUCAAAUGAUAUAAUUUAUUUUAUGAUGCCAUUUUACAAUAUGUAACAUUCUGACAAAAUUGAAUAAUGUACUCACACAGGAUCUUGGAGAGUGGGGAACCUCUUCUUAACUAUUCUCUGAAAGGCUCACCCUCUCUGGACUGUCCUUUUUGAUCCUAAUUUCCUCACCAUCCUGUCGCAGCUCAACACAAUUAAUGGGUAGAUGUUUCUUUCGUAUUUUUUCAUAUUACACAACUUUGUCACCAUUAUAGCCAAACCUUUUUGAAAUGUGAUGCUAAUAUCAAAUUUAAAAAGAGCAUACAUUUUACUUAAUUCACUUUCAAUGUCUGAAAGGCCAUCUUUGCACAUUUUUAAUAAAAUAUAAGGUUGAAAUGGUAUGCCAUCCAUAAAAAUCCUCUUUGGUUAUAUUUUACACAGUGUCCCAACUUUUUUUUGCAGUUCAGGCUGUUGUCGUUAGGGUUUUAAGGAAUGAUUUACAUGAACGUAUUGGCAAAGUUUUGGAUAUUAAACUUGAAAAUUUUUUAGCCCCUGUCCACAGUCUACCUGAACUAAAAGCUGUACAAGGUAAGAGGCUGCUGAGUACUCAUUAUUACAUAAUAGAAAAUUGAUAAUAUCAUUACAAGGGGCUGUCUCAGACUUAAGAAAGAUAUUAUCACAUAUUCAUGGUAUAAAAAGCCUGAAUAUCUGUUUUGCUGUAACAAAAAAAUUGAAUGUAGCUCCCAACCAAGGGUUAUAAUACAAAAUACAUUAAUUUAAGAUAAGUAACUAGUUUAAACACUAUACACAAAGUCUUGUCAUUUUUUUUUUCAUUAUCAUAUUAGGGUUUCCCUCUUUAAAAAAACAAAAAAACAUGGAGAAGCAGCAUUCUGCUUCUAUGGGCCGACAGCAUGGAACAAACUCCCAGUUUACAUAAGACAGGCAACCUCUGUUGAUAACUUUAAAACACACCUUAAGACCUAUUUCUUCACUCUUGCUUUUAUUUGAUCAUGUCCGCACUAUUUGCUAUUAUUAUGAUGUUGUUUUAUGUUUCUGUAUUUAUUGUCUGCUUAUUUUUAUUUAUUUUUAUUUUUUUAAUUGCUUAUUUUAUUGUUUUUAUUGUUAAUUUUAUUGUUUUAUUGCCAAUCAUCUACCCCGUCUGUAAAGCACUCGUGCUUUGUUUUUAACCUGUAAAGCACUUUGAGCUGCAUCUCAUGUCAUGAAAGGUGCUAUACAAAUAAAGUUUAUUAUUAUUAUUAUUAUUAUUAUUAUUAUU